rnacentral:lncRNA from 1 species
UUAGAGUGUGGUGGUGAUGGCACUGGUGGAGUAAAUAAGAAGCUCUUACCUCGUAAGAUACUGAGGUAUUUUCCACUUAUUCCUUGAUUGCAGAGAUUAUAUAUGAAUGAGACCACAUCAGCACAUAUGCGUUGGCACAAGGAAGAAUUGGUUGAAGAUGGAGUGCUUAAAAAAAUUAUCACCCUUUAUUUUGCUAACACUACAAGAAACCUUGUAAUCUAUGACGAAAUUUCUGUGACAAUUUCUGAGAACGUCAUUAACUGCACACAAUCUAUGAAGAUUUUC